GUUCAGAGUCAACCACAUUGCUGUGGGCCUGGAGUCUCAUAUAGGUCAGACCAGGUCUGACCACAGCCAGGAUCCCUUGGCAUCUCCAGGCAUUAAAGGUUAACCUCAAGAAUACGACUGCAAACAACUCAACAGAAAAACCACAAAGGGAAAUGCAAGUGUUUUAUUUUGGUUUUACGAACGCUCAGUCUUUAUUUUUGCCAGAAUGCAAAAUAAACAAACAAACAAACAGUCAAGAGGCUUUGGAAUGGGGAAGAAAAGAGUUUCAUUCAUUUUCCAAACCACCUGGGAAGCAGUGGCCAGUGACGACAGAUGUGUCAGGGGAAAUACAAAGUCUAGGCACAUGGUUACAUGGUAACCUACAGGGAUGUGUCAAUAAAGAGUUGGCAAGUCCAGCUGCAAACCCUCUCAUCCUUGAGAGAAACAAAAUGCACCAAUCACUCAUUCCACUCCACCCAUUUUCAGUCACUGAUACAGGAGUUAAAUGUUGGGUCUACAAAUAUUCUCCUCCUCUUAAACUAGAACUAACUGUGGCUGUUCACUGGUAUAGAAAUAUUUCAGCUCUGAUCACCCAAAUUACAAAACUCUACACUCAACUGUUGCCUUAAACGGACUUCGAAAUACUACCAAAACAAAAACUAUGUGCGUUUUUUUAAGACCUUUCAGCCAGGUGGUCCAUUCAUUUGGACUGUCUUCCCUUCUGUUCCAAGACAUUGGGACAGGGUUGACUGUUUUAUCAGCAGCGGGUAGCUGUCACAAACUGUACAAAAAACAUGAGAUAAACUUGCAUUUCCAUUUUUACAACUCCCAAGUUCACAUGACCUUCUCUCCAAUGCUUUCUUUCUUACAGAGCCAAAAAGAGAAACAUUGUGCAGAAUCGAAAGCACAAAUCUGCUCACCAUCAUUCUGCAUCAUUGGACAACAAAAAAAAAAGUUUUCACUCCACUUAAUAAUGCUGCAGAACACCGAUAGGCUCAUCAAAUAUUGUAAAAUGUGUCUUGAGUAAUAGUCUUGGUUUUCCUUGUUUUAUAACAGGCAAUUCUCUGACUCUAUUGACGAAAGGUAUCUCGUUACUUGAAAAAGAUCUUGUCCAUGUUAUGUUUAACGUCUUCAGUGGGAUGCAAAGGUUAUAUUUUGCAGUGUGACCAGAAAACAGUAUGUCUUUCAACUUACUCCAGAAAUCUGAAGACAGCAUCUAAGACUUAAUGUAGUACUGUCAGAGCGGUCAUUCAAGGACAUGGAAGACAAUGUCCUUCAAUCAAGGAAAUUAACAGAGACCCGAGGAACACAAGGCACUAUUCAAAGAGCAAGGUCCCGUUGUCCCAGGCAAUAACCUUCCUCACUGUGCACUACAGCACCUAUUUUGGUGUCUUCUGCAAACUUACCAACCAUACCUCCCUUUAUUCACAUCUAAAUCAUUAUAGAAAUGACAAACAACAGUGGACCACUACAGCUUCUCAGCUCUUCCUACCUUCUGGAGUGUGGAUUAGUACAGUCAUAGCAGAUGGUCAAGAAAAUCACUAUGGAUUUAAAAUUGACCCUGGAAUCCACAGGUUACACAUGGUUCUGUUUUCCAGUGUAGAGUUUCAUGAACUGUGGUUAGUCCACAAUUGUUAUAUAUAGAUUUAGCAUAACUUCCGUGUUUGUUAAUUCAGUUGUACUAGAAAGUGCUUUUAUUUGCAUUUUUGAUUUGGUGAGAUACUGUAAAGUGGUCACCCAUGCUGAUAUGUUUUUCCUUCCUACCUUGUCUGCUAAAAAAAAAUUCCAUUUACUCACUGUGACAACCAUUCCCUGAAUUAUUAAACAUCAUCCCUCCCACAGUCAAGCCGAUGACUUAUGGCAAUACCGACCCUGUGGGACUCCCCAUUAAGCAGCCAACUGUAAAACCGGAUGCUUCCUCUGCAAAAAACCAUUCUGCAAGUUUCUGGGGCACAGAAUCUGUUUCCCGAGCGGAACAAACAGAUUUUACCUCAUACGUCUUUACCCACCGUCACCAGGUGGCCUCAAAAAUCAAGUGUUGCAGAAUGAAAAUAAAUAUUUACAGCUGUCAAUUUGGACUCAAAGAACACAAAAGGAAAAAAAAGUGACAAAACAAAAUAUCACGUUACAACACUAAAUCAAAAAGCGUUAGCACAGGGACAAAAUCUUGGCCAGAAUUCCAGAAAAAUUGCCCUGUUUUUCAAAAAAAAAAAACAGGCGAUGGGAUCUUUCACAACCAUCAUGAAGGGCACAAAAGGAUUUCAUCUGAA